AUUGAACGCUGGCGGCAUGCCUUACACAUGCAAGUCGAACGGUAACAGGUUAAGCUGACGAGUGGCGAACGGGUGAGUAAUGUAUCGGAACGUGCCCAGUCGUGGGGGAUAACUGCUCGAAAGAGCAGCUAAUACCGCAUACGACCUGAGGGUGAAAGCGGGGGAUCGCAAGACCUCGCGCGAUUGGAGCGGCCGAUAUCAGAUUAGGUAGUUGGUGAGGUAAAGGCUCACCAAGCCGACGAUCUGUAGCUGGUCUGAGAGGACGACCAGCCACACUGGGACUGAGACACGGCCCAGACUCCUACGGGAGGCAGCAGUGGGGAAUGUUGGACAAGGGGCGAAAGCCUGAUCCAGCCAUGACGCGUGCGGGAAGAAGGCCUUCGGGUUGUAAACCGCUUUUGUCAGGGAAGAAAAGGUUCUGGCUAAUACCUGGGACUCGUGACGGUACCUGAAGAAUAAGCACCGGCUAACUACG
rnacentral:rRNA from 1 species